rnacentral:rRNA from 1 species
AACGUAGGAGGCAAGCGUUAUCCGGAGUAACUGGGCGUAAAGGGCGGGUAGGUGGUUGGAUAAGUUGGUUAUGAAAGCUCCUGGCUAAACUGGGAGAGGUUGACCAAGACUGUUCGACUUGAGUGGAGAAGAGGUAAACGGAAUUCCGCGUGUAGUGGUGAAAUGCGUAGAGAUGCGGAAGAACACCAGUGGCGAAGGCGGUUUACUGGUCUCCAACUGACACUGAGCCGCGAAAGCAUGGGUAGCGAACGGGAUUAGAAACCCCCGUAGUCC